rnacentral:rRNA from 1 species
UGAGGAAUAUUGGUCAAUGGGGGCAACCCUGAACCAGCCAAGUCGCGUGAAGGAUGAAGGUCUUAUGGAUUGUAAACUUCUUUUAUACAGGAAUAAAUUGGGGGACGUGUCCCCUUUUGCAUGUACUGUAUGAAUAAGGAUCGGCUAACUCCGUGCCAGCAGCCGCGGUAAUACGGAGGAUCCGAGCGUUAUCCGGAUUUAUUGGGUUUAACGGGUGCGCAGGCGGGAUGUUAAGUCGGCGGUGAAAUUUUGCAGCUCAACUGUAAAAGUGCCUUCGAUACUGGCCUCCUUGAGUGUGGAUGAAGUAGGCGGAAUUUGUGGUGUAGCGGUGAAAUGCUUAGAUAUCACGAGGAACUCCGAUUGCGCAGGCAGCUUACUAAGCCACAACUGACGCUCAUGCACGAAGGCGUGGGGAUCAAACA